CCUUCUUCUCGUUUGCCUUUUUCUGCUUCUGCUGCAUGAUCUCCCAGUCCCUGGGAGUAGAGAUGAUGGGGCACU
rnacentral:miRNA from 1 species